CCCUUAGAUGUUCUGGGCCGCACGCGCGCUACACUGAUGCAUUCAACGAGUCUAAAACCUGGUCUGAUAGGGCUGGGUAAUCUUUUGAAUGUGCAUCGUGAUUGGGAUAGAUGAUUGCAAUUCUUCAUCUUCAACGAGGAAUGCCUAGUAGACGCAAGUCAUCAGCUUGCAUUGAUUACGUCCCUGCCCUUUGUACACACCGCCCGUCGCUCCUACCGAUUGAAUGUUCCGAUGAAUACCAUGGACUGAGAGUAUGAAUGGGUUCGCCUAUUUCUGCUUCUCGGGAAGUGGAGUAAAUCUUAACAUUUAGAGGAAGGAGAAGUCGUAACA
rnacentral:rRNA from 1 species